GGACACGCAAACUUCUCAACAGGCCGUACCAAUAUCCGCAGCUGGUCUCCAUGGUGAAGAGUCUCUAGUCGAUAGAAUAAUGUAGGUAAGGGAAGUCGGCCAAUUAGAUCCGGAACUUCGCGAUAAGGAUUGGCUCUGAAGAGUGAGAUAGUCGCGCGUGAUUGGGAAACAAUAACAUGGUUUAUGUGCUCGUUCUGGGUAAAUAGAGUUUCUAGCAUUUAUGUUAGUUACUUGUUCCGCGGAUAGUUUAGUUACGUAGACAAUUGUGGAACUUUCUUGCUAAGAUCUAUAAGAAUACUAUUUGGGUUAAACCGAUUAGUUCUUAUCAGUUAUAACGAUUAUCAAUUAACAAUCAAUUCAGAACUGGCACGGACUUGGGGAAUCCGACUGUCUAAUAAAACAAAGCAUUGUGAUGGCCCUAGCGGGUGUUGACACAAUGUGAUUUCUGCCCAGUGCUCUGAAUGUCAAAGUGAAGAAAUUCAAGUAAGCGCGGGUCAACGGCGGGAGUAACUAUGACUCUCUUAAGGUAGCCAAAUGCCUCGUCAUCUAAUUAGUGACGCGCAUGAAUGGAUUAACGAGAUUCCUACUGUCCCUAUCUACUAUCUAGCGAAACCACAGCCAAGGGAACGGGCUUGGAAUAAUUAGCGGGGAAAGAAGACCCUUUUGAGCUUGACUCUAAUCUGGCAGUGUAAGGAGACAUAAGAGGUGUAGAAUAAGUGGGAGAUAUUAGACCUCGGUUUGGUAUCGUCAAUGAAAUACCACUACUCUUAUUGUUUCCUUACUUACUUGAUUAAAUGGAACGUGUAUCAUUUCCUAGCCAUUAUACGGAUAUAUUUAUUAUAUCUUAUGGUAUUGGGUUUUGAUGCAAGCUUCUUGAUCAAAGUAUCACGAGUUUGUUAUAUAAUCGCAAACAAAUUCUUUAAUAAAACGAUGCAUUUAUGUAUUUUUGAUUUGAAAAUUUGGUAUAACUCCAAUUACUCAGGUAUGAUCCAAUUCAAGGACAUUGCCAGGUAGGGAGUUUGACUGGGGCGGUACAUCUCUCAAAUAAUAACGGAGGUGUCCCAAGGCCAGCUCAGUGCGGACAGAAACCACACAUAGAGCAAAAGGGCAAAUGCUGACUUGAUCUCGGUGUUCAGUACACACAGGGACAGCAAAAGCUCGGCCUAUCGAUCCUUUUGGUUUAAAGAGUUUUUAACAAGAGGUGUCAGAAAAGUUACCAUAGGGAUAACUGGCUUGUGUCGGCCAAGCGUUCAUAGCGACGUCGCUUUUUGAUCCUUCGAUGUAGUCUCUUCCUAUCAUUGUGAAGCAAAAUUCACCAAGCGUUGGAUUGUUCACCCAUGCAAGGGAACGUGAGCUGGGUUUAGACCGUCGUGAGACAGGUUAGUUUUACCCUACUAAUGACAAAACGUUGUUGCGAUAGCAUUCCUGCGUAGUACGAGAGGGAACCGCAGGUACGGACCAAUGGCACAAUACUUUGUUCGAGCGAACAGUGGUAUGACGCUACGUCCGUUGGAAUUAUGCGCCUGAACGCCUCUAAGGUCGUAUCCGUGCUGGACUGCAAUGU
rnacentral:rRNA from 1 species